rfam:Gemmatimonas sp. SG8_28 WOR_8-12_1809, whole genome shotgun sequence.
GCGGCCGUGGCGGAACUGGUAGACGCGCCAGCCUUAGGAGCUGGUGGGGUUUCCCCGUGUGGGUUCGAGUCCCUCCGGCCGCA